rnacentral:rRNA from 1 species
CCUACGGGAGGCAGCAGUGAGGAAUAUUGGUCAAUGGGCGCGAGCCUGAACCAGCAAAGCCGCGUGAGGGAAGACGGUCUUAUGGAUUGUAAACCUCUUUUGUCGGGGAGCAAAAGACGCCACGCGUGGCGUUCCGAGAGUACCCGAAGAAAAAGCAUCGGCUAACUCCGUGCCAGCAGCCGCGGUAAUACGGAGGAUGCGAGCGUUAUCCGGAUUUAUUGGGUUUAAAGGGUGCGCAGGCGGAAUGUGAAGUCAGCGGUAAAAUUGAGAGGCUCAACCUCGUCGAGCCGUUGAAACUGGUUGUCUUGAGUGAGUGAGAAGUAUGCGGAAUGCGUGGUGUAGCGGUGAAAUGCAUAGAUAUCACGCAGAACUCCGAUUGCGAAGGCAGCAUACCGGCGCUCAACUGACGCUCAUGCACGAAAGUGUGGGUAUCGAACAGGAUUAGAUACCCCGGUAGUC